rnacentral:rRNA from 1 species
GAUGAACGCUGACGGCGUGCCUAAUACAUGCAAGUCGAGCGAACGGACGAGAAGCUUGCUUCUCUGAUGUUAGCGGCGGACGGGUGAGUAACACGUGGAUAACCUACCUAUAAGACUGGGAUAACUUCGGGAAACCGGAUCUAAUACCGGAUAAUAUUUUGAACCGCAUGGUUCAAAAGUGAAAGACGGUCUUGCUGUCACUUAUAGAUGGAUCCGCGCUGCAUUAGCUAGUUGGUAAGGUAACGGCUUACCAAGGCAACGAUGCAUAGCCGACCUGAGAGGGUGAUCGGCCACACUGGAACUGAGACACGGUCCAGACUCCUACGGGAGGCAGCAGUAGGGAAUCUUCCGCAAUGGGCGAAAGCCUGACGGAGCAACGCCGCGUGAGUGAUGAAGGUCUUCGGAUCGUAAAACUCUGUUAUUAGGGAAGAACAUAUGUGUAAGUAACUGUGCACAUCUUGACGGUACCUAAUCAGAAAGCCACGGCUAACUACGUG